rnacentral:rRNA from 1 species
CAGUAGCCGCGGUAAUACCAGCAGCCCAAGUGGUGGUCGCGCUUAUUGGGCCUAAAGCGCUCGUAGCCUGGCCGGUAAGUUCCCCGUGAAAUCGGGUCGCCCAACGAUUCGGCUUGCGGGGAAUACUGUCGGUCUUGGGGCCGGGAGACGCCGAGGGUACUCCGGGGGUAGCGGUGAAAUGCUGUAAUCCUCGGGGGACUACCAGUGGCGAAGGCGCUCGGCGAUAACGGGCCUGACGGUGAGGGGCGAAAGCUGGGGGCGCGAACGGGAUUAGAUACCCCAGUAGUCCCUGUCUCUUAUU